AACAAGGCGUACCUGCGGACCUGCGGAGGGAUCAUUACAGAGUUGCAAAACUCCCUAAACCAUUGUGAACGUUACCUAAACCGUUGCUUCGGCGGGCGGCCCGGGUCCUUCCCGGCGCCCAUCGGCCCUCGCGGGCGCCCGCCGGAGGUAAACCAAACUAUUGCAUUGUAUGGCCUCUCUGAGUCUUCUGUACUGAAUAAGUCAAAACUUUCAACAAUGGAUCUCAGAUCGGAAGAGCAC
rnacentral:misc_RNA from 1 species